rnacentral:rRNA from 1 species
CAGUCGCCACGGUAAUACGUAGGGUGCGAGCGUUAAUAGGAAUUACUGGGCGUAAAGCGUGCGCAGGCGGUUCGUUAAGACAGAUGUGAAAUCCCCGGGCUUAACCUGGGAACUGCAUUUGUGACUGGCGAGCUAGAGUAUGGCAGAGGGGGGUAGAAUUCCACGUGUAGCAGUGAAAUACGUAGAGAUGUGGAGGAAUAUCGAUGGCGAAGGCAGCCCCCUGGGCCAAUACUGACGCUCAUGCACGAAAGCGUGGGGAGCAAACAGGAUUAGAUACCCCAGUAGUCCCUGUCUCUUAUAC